UUUUCCGUCUCCUUUCUCCACGUCAGCAUUGUGUCUCUCCCUGCGGAACCUGGAUAGAAAAAAGUAGAGAGCGAGAACGCCCGUGUUUAGUCGUGUCGACGUGAUUCGCUUUUGUCUAUUUACAUUACUGGGAUUAAGAGGCCAGUUUCACUAGGCGAUCAAUUAAAUAAAGGGGGGAAUAAUAAGAUUACAUGGUGUAUACAAAUCAUGGGUUAGGUUGAACUUUUGUGAAUUUUUCUGUCCCUCGAUCGUGUGUGAUCGAUAAUCAUCAUUCAGCGGCAGAUUUUUGAGAAGGAUAGAUACGUAUAUAUGCAAAAUAUAUAUAAAUUGAUAUAUACAUAGGUAUUUAUAUACAUUUUACAUAUAUAGUCUUGAUAUUAUUUUUGGUUAGACGAAGAACAGUCGUCCUUUCUUUCUUUGUUCUGCUACUGGUGCCGCUUUUUUUAUUGGUGGCAAAUGAGACAAGUUCGUUCUACUGAGGCUAGAAAAAGGGAGACAGCUCCAGCGGUGUUCACGAGCAACCUACUUUGAUGUGCCUACGGGAUUCGAAAGAAAAUAUUUUCGGUGGUGAUAAGAUGCCGAUAAGACAUACGGGAAAACCUGGCAGCGUCGAUGAACCGAUUGUGGCCUCGUACCUAACAAAAAAAGAAAAAAAAAGAAAAAAGCCAGCUCCUUUUCUCGACGGACAUCCGCUACCUUCCGGAAGAUCAGCUGCACAAAACGAUUCGAUUCCAUUUUACGCGCUUAAAUAAGCAUAAUAACAAGUACACAAGCUCACGAAAGUAUUUCAAUAUCCAUGGAACAUAUUAUGUGUGUUAUAUGAAACAUUUGAAAAUUCCAGACUCGACUAUUACGACUGUAUUGGUAAAGUUUGAGACAAAUCUGAAAAUAUAUGCAGAAAAUUAAAAAAAUAUUUGAUAGAAAUACAUAUUCUGCAGGAGUCACAAAAAUAUUUAAACAGUCGAUUAUUCGCUGUAUUAAUAAACUACACAUAACAGUGAAACGAUCUUUAGUACUAAUUGUAUGUUUAAGACUAUUGUUAAUAUAUUAUUAUAUGCAAGUUUCUUUUUACUAAAUAUAUGUUCGCAACAAAUAUCUUUUUUUAUUAAUUAACUUCUACAUACAUUUUCAGAUUGAUUACAGAUUGGACAAAUAUAAUCGAAACAGUCUUGUCUCAUUACGAUGAUUAUAUAACCUCAAAAUGUUUUACAUAACACGUGCAGUAUAUAAUCCGUUUUAUGUAAUACAUACAAGAUAAACAAGUUCAGAUUGUCUUGAAAUUGUAUCAAUAUAAUCAUGACAGUGCUAUCUCAUUAUUGCGUUAAUGAAAUUUCAAAAUGUUUUACAUAACACAUACGAUAUAUGCAUAACACAUGAUAUAUCUUAAUAUGUCCAUAUAUAAUCCGUUUUAUGUAAUUAAAUGUAUACAAUCUCAGAUUGGUUUGAAAUUUUAUCAAUAUGAUAUUUGUAUCUUAUUAUAAUAAUAAUAAUGAAAUCUCAAGAGAUACGUAUAGUAUAUACAAUAUAGACAUAAAUGUUUUUCAUGAGUAUGGAAUUCGUUAUGGAACGCAGUAUGCUCGGCGUAAUUAAUCAGGAUGAACGACACGGCGCAGUUGGAACGACGAGCGAUUAUUUAUGGGGCCCGGAACAAUUAUUUAUACUCUCGAGUCGCUCCUUUGCUAUUAUUAAUGGUCUAGAACGCGUUGGACCCUUUAUCGGCUUUUUUACACCCCUUGCUAUGUAGGUGACCAUUAUUCGAGUGUUAAUAAUCGUCCUUACGCUUCCACAUCAUAUAUAUAUAAAACUAUCGAAAUAAUCGAAGCAUCCUUAUACAAAACACAAGUGUCAAAAUUAAAAAAUUUUUGCCUCUUUUCUAUUAAAAAAUGUUUUACUUGCCAAUGGGAAUACGUACUGCAGUAUAGUAAAUCAAUCCCUGCACAGAGUAAUCAAACUUGUAUAUUAAGAAACACCAUUAAUCUUCAAUAUAAUAACGAAAGAAUGUCAUGUAUAUACUUACUUUAGGUCCAGAAAGAAAACUAUGAAAAACGAGAAAAUGCUUCCAAUAAUCUUAUGGUAGGGUUAUUUGAGUCAGUAGCGAUAUAUUAUAUAAGUAUCAAUAAAAUAAAUAGCAAAAUAACUUGCAGGAAUAAAAUAAUACACACACACACACUACUGAAUUAUGAUAAUUAAUUUGUUUUCAAACAUAAAUCGCUUAAAAAUUGUUUAUAAACGAAUUUGACGAAUUCAUUUCACCUAAAUAACCCUACUUUUCAAGUACUGCAGUUAACAGUGAUGCUAAUAGAUAGCACGAAUGAGUAAAGAACACUUAAGUGCUAAUUCAAACGAUGUUAAAAUAUGUGUACAUCAAAUAUCACUUGGAAUAUUUUAAAAUACACUUUCGUAAUGCAUUCUACUCGGAAAUGAAAAGAACGUAUUAAAUAAAUAUAUUUUUAAUUUACUAUACUUAUAGGAUUUGUAAAUUUAAAAAUGAAUGACAGAUUUAGUUUUCUUUACAACUAAAAGGUGAUAAAUACAGAGUUCUUUACAAAUAUAAUUUUCCUUUUCAUGAAUGAUGGUGAAUAAAUGUAAAAAAUAAAAAGAUCUCUUAAUACAUUUCUUAUGAUUGUGCGGUUCAGAAGUCACAUUAAUCAACUCCAUCAAUUGAAAAGUACAAGAUAGUGACGAUAUUAAAAACGCCUUUUUUUUAAUUUACCUUGAGAUUUAUCACUAUUCGCGUGAUUUUCUUGCGAUAAGUAAACAGACGGAAGUAUGGGAAUCAGAUAUUAUUCGUAUAUUCAUAUAACAGACUGAAGAAAUUAAUAAAAAGUGGAGUUGAUUAGUUUGGCUUCUGUAAAUGUAUAUCUCUAUCUAUAAAUAAAUGAAAUUUCAAAAUACUAAAGUCAGCUAACUUUUUCUUUUUCUC